UUAAACGUUACUUCAUUUGGGGUCGAUUCCGUAUCUCCGAGGGAGAGCCUGGAAUGUCGACCUUUGGAAUGAGUUCGUAAACAGGAUGUUUGGAUUUCUAUCGCACUUUCGAGAAAGUGGAAGGAAAAAGGUUUAAGAUUGGACACCGUUUCCGGCAUCGAAAAGUUUGGAAUAAAUUCCGCGGGACUCGCACGGGACUUUUCGGUCGGGUCGUGAGACCGUUCCUAGGGCCCCGAGCUUUUAGUUUUGAGGUGUGGUAAUGAUCCUUCCGCAGGUUCACCUACGGAAA
rnacentral:misc_RNA from 1 species